rnacentral:rRNA from 1 species
GAUGAACGCUGGCGGCGUGCCUAAUACAUGCAAGUCGAGCGAACAGACGAGAAGCUUGCUCCUCUGACGUUAGCGGCGGACGGGUGAGUAACACGUGGAUAACCUACCUAUAAGACUGGGAUAACUUCGGGAAACCGGAGCUAAUACCGGAUGAUAUAUUGAACCGCAUGGUUCAAUAGUGAAAGACGGUCUUGCUGUCACUUAUAGAUGGAUCCGCGCCGCAUUAGCUAGUUGGUAAGGUAACGGCUUACCAAGGCAACGAUGCGUAGCCGACCUGAGAGGGUGAUCGGCCACACUGGAACUGAGACACGGUCCAGACUCCUACGGGAGGCAGCAGUAGGGAAUCUUCCGCAAUGGGCGAAAGCCUGACGGAGCAACGCCGCGUGAGUGAUGAAGGUCUUCGGAUCGUAAAACUCUGUUAUUAGGGAAGAACAAAUGUGUAAGUAACUAUGCACGUCUUGACGGUACCUAAUCAGAAAGCCACGGCUAACUACGUG